CUUUGUUUGAUGCAUUUGUGAUUUGUGAGUUCCUUGUCCAAUAUUUUUUAUAUCAUGGAGAUAUAUUGUUUUGUCAAAUGUAGAUACUGGACAGGAGGAAGCAUGGGUUGAACUAUCUAGAUAAAGCUCCUCUAUUGGCCUUGUAUUUUGUGACAAAACAGAUUAUUGGUUGAAGUUCUCGAUAACGUAAGCUGUGGCAGCAACCAAGUCAUACCCAGGACUGUUGGCGGCAAUACCAGUUGUGGACUUGGGAGGGUGAUUUUGCAACUCAGGCUAGCUGAGAAAAUGAGCUAGACAGCGACCAUGAAUCCAGGCUUUUGAGGCCUCUUUAAUGCAAGAUCUGACUCCAGUGACCUAAACAACACUGCCAAAUCCACCAUGAUCAGAUAUACUCUGUCCUUUGUAGUUGCUGAAAUCUUAUCCAUGAUUCAGAUUUAUGCGAGAUUGAUUCGAAUGAGAUGAUGGACUUGAUCUCCAAUCAAAAGAUUUAGA